rnacentral:rRNA from 1 species
UGCAUGGCUGUCGUUAGCUUGGGUCGUGAGAUGUUUGGUCAAGUCCUAUAAUGAGCGAAACCCUCGUUUUAUGUUGCUGAGACAUGCGCCUAAGGAGAAAUUGCCACCAAGUGAUGUGCCAGCGCUACUACUUGAUUGAGUUCCAGCACGUAGCUCUGCUUUCAGCAAGAAUUUCACCAUUGGGAGCCGGUGCCUUUCGAAGCACUUUCACGUGUGAACCGAAGUCGACUUGCCCAAGACCCAUGGAGACCUACCUAUAGUGACGUCAAAGUACCAGUGAGCAUGGAGGUUUGGUUGAAAUUGGUUACGACGACGUCGAGUUGGCGGCGGAGGAAGACUCGGCAUGAAGGCCAGAAAAUGGUGUGGAACGUAGUGGUAAUAGUACGUGCCCCGCUCCGAAACAAAGAAAAAGGUGCGUGCCGCACUCACGAGGGACUGCCAGUGAGAUACUGGAGGAAGGUGGGGAUGACGUCAAGUCCGCAUG